rnacentral:rRNA from 1 species
AGCGAACGCUGGCGGCAGGCCUAACACAUGCCAGUCGAACGAACCUUUCGGGGUUAGUGGCGGACGGGUGAGUAACACGUGGGAACGUGCCUUUAGGUUCGGAAUAACUCAGGGAAACGUGUGCUAAUACCGAAUGUGCCCUUCGGGGGAAAGAUUUAUCGCGUUUAGAGCGGCCCGCGUCUGAUUAGCUAGUUGGUUGAGGUAAUGGGUCACCAAGGCGACGAUCAGUAGCUGGGCUGAGAGGAUGAUCCGCCACAUUGGGACUGAGACACGGCCCAAACUCCUACGAGAGGCAGCAGUGGGGAAUCUUGCGCAAUGGGCGAAAGCCUGACGCAGCCAUGCCGCGUGAAUGAUGAAGGUCUUAGGAUUGUAAAAUUCUUUCGACGGGGACGAUAAUGACGGUACCCGGAGAAGAAGCCCCGGCUAACUUCGUG